GCUUUUAAAGGAUAACAGCUCAUCCAUUGGUCUUAGGAACCAAAGAUUCUUGGCGCAAAUCCAAGUAAAAGCU
rnacentral:tRNA from 1 species